rnacentral:rRNA from 1 species
CGGGUGAGUAAUGCGUGACCAACCUGCCCCCAUGCUCCAGAAUAGCUCUUGGAAACGGGUGGUAAUGCUGGAUGCUCCAACUUGACGCAUGUCUUGUUGGAAAGUGUUUAGUGGCAUGGGAUGGGGUCGCGUCCUAUCAGCUUGUAGGCGGGGUAAUGGCCCACCUAGGCUUCGACGGGUAGCCGGCCUGAGAGGGCGGACGGCCACAUUGGGACUGAGAUACGGCCCAGACUCCUACGGGAGGCAGCAGCA